AUCCAGCUGAUGAGUCCCAAAUAGGACGAAAAGCGCGUCAAACUGGAU
rfam:Schistosoma rodhaini strain Burundi genome assembly, scaffold: SROB_scaffold0016127